ACCGUCGACAGUCAGGUAACGAGCGAGACCCCUGCGUCUAGUUGCUACCAUUACUCUCUGGAGCAGUGGAGCGAAUUAGACGGACCGCCACAGUUAAUGUGGAGGAAGGAAGGGGCCACGGCAGGUCAGUAUGCCCCGAAACCCUAGGGCUACACGCGGGCUGCAAUGGUAUUGACAAUGUGUUCCGAAUCCGAAAGGAGGAGGCAAUCAUCAAACAAUAUCUCAGUUAUGACUGAGGGCUGUAACUCGCCCUCACGAAUAUGGAAUCCCUAGUAACCGCGCGUCACUACCGCGCGGUGAACACGUCCCUGCUCCUUGCACGAAUUCGCCG
rnacentral:rRNA from 1 species